AUUGAACGCUGGCGGCAGGCCUAACACAUGCAAGUCGAGCGGAUGAAGGGAGCUUGCUCCUGGAUUCAGCGGCGGACGGGUGAGUAAUGCCUAGGAAUCUGCCUGGUAGUGGGGGAUAACGUCCGGAAACGGGCGCUAAUACCGCAUACGUCCUGAGGGAGAAAGUGGGGGAUCUUCGGACCUCACGCUAUCAGAUGAGCCUAGGUCGGAUUAGCUAGUUGGUGGGGUAAAGGCCUACCAAGGCGACGAUCCGUAACUGGUCUGAGAGGAUGAUCAGUCACCGUGGAAAUGAAACACGGUCCAGACUCCUCCGGGAGGCAGCAGGGGGAAUUUUUGGACAAGGGGAGAAGGCUUGAUCCACCCCGGCCGCGGGUGGGAAGAAGUUCUUGGAUUUUAAAAGCACUUUAGGUGGGGAGGAAGGGCAUUAAUUUAAUACCUUGUUUUUUUGACUUAACAAAAAAAAAAAGCACCGGCUAACUUCGUC
rnacentral:rRNA from 1 species